UUCGAUAUAAAUAAUGUUUACCAGAGUACUACGAAUAAAAGUUUAAAACUCAAAGGGCUUGGCGGUGCUUUAGACUUCUCAGGGGAACCUGUCUCGUAAUCGACAGUCCACGAAUCAACCUCACCUUCAUGCAGUAUGUAUACCGUCGUCGUCAGGUAACUUUUAAAAAUAAAGAAGUUAGCAAGUUUUUACGUCAGAUCAAGGUGCAGCUUAUGGGAAGGAGAAGAUGGGUUACAAUUAAAAUUUAUAAUUACGGAUGCUAGUUUUUGAAGGCGGACUUGAAAGUACAAGUUAGUAGUCAAAUAGUUUGAAUUUAGCUCUGAAGCG
rnacentral:rRNA from 1 species